UGGGUGCAGUCGAGGAUCUUCCGCAAUGCGCGCAAGCGUGACGGAGCAAUGCCGGGUGGACGAUGAAGGCCUUCAGGUCGUAAAGUCAUGGGACCCAAUCCCCCCUUCCGAGUGCACAACGUUUACGGCCGGGACUACCGGGGUAUCUAAUCCUGUUUGCUCCCCCGGCUUUCGUUCCUCAGGGUCAGGUACCGUCCAGAGAGCUGCCUUCGCCAUCGGUGUUCCUCCUGAUAUCUACGCAUUCCACCGCUACACCAGGAAUUCCACUCUCCUCUCCGGUCCUCAAGCACGCCAGUAUCCAGUGACUUUCCAUGGUUGAGCCAUGGGCUUUCACACCGGACUUAGCAUGCCCCCUACGAACCCUUUACGCCCAGUAAAUCCGAAUAACACUCGCCACCUACGUAUUACCGCGGCUGCUGGCACGUAGUUAGCCGUGGCUUCCUCUCCCGGUACUGUCCAUAAGUCGUCCCGGGUGACAGGACUUUACGACCCGAAGGCCUUCAUCGUCCACGCGGCAUUGCUCCGUCACGCUUGCGCGCAUUGCGGAAGAUCCUCACCUGCAGCCAGA
rnacentral:rRNA from 1 species